AGUUAGUAUAUUUUAUAAGUAUUUUAAGGAUACUGUGAAACAGUAUUAUUUAUGUGUAGGUCAAAGCACAGAUUAAUGACGUGAGCUACCUGAAUGACUUAGUCAUCUGAAAGUGCUUCCGAGGAUGGUGAUGUCUGUACUCUAAGAAUUCCACGUUGCAAGUAGAACCACUUGGCUUGAGGUAUAAAGAUUGUGUUAGCUUGUUGAAAAUUUGGGAUGCAAUUCUUUUGUGUGAAAGAUAAAUGGAACUUUAAAAAAGCCACUGUGAACUACUUAGAGGAGAAAUUAAAAAACUGGAAAAUAAGGGGAGAAUACGUCGUUAGUAUUGUGGAGUGUGAAAUUCAUGGAAAUAAUUUUGACCUUAAAGCAAGAAGAAGAGAAUAGAAGAAAUGCUGAUAUGUUAUAUGAAAAAAUUAGGGAGCAAUUAAGAAGAAAGGAAGACCAAUAUAGUAAAGAAGUUGAAAUGAACAGCAACUAGAACUCACUCUCAGAGCUCUAGAUGGAACUGAAGACUGAGAAAUAAUCUGAAUCAGGUAGAGUAAUUGUUGGUGAAAAUUUCUAGCACCAUUUUGUCAAUAUUAUUUAUAAUAUCCCUUUUAUUUCAUAUGUAUUAUUUAGAUUUCAAACAAAAUGUUAUCUCAACCUAGGAAUGAACUGUGACAUUCAGAGUUUAUGUGAUGAGUUUCUUGCCAUUCUUGGCUUCUAGUAGAUGCUGUGUAUGUGUUUUCUGCGUGGAGG
rnacentral:lncRNA from 1 species